GGAAGCUAGUCUUUUUGCUUUUGCCCAUUUUGAAUCACAUGAAUUAUUAGUGUUAAUCUUUUCAUAUAGUUUGUGGAUGCCCAGCUUCUGUCUACACGCCCUG